AGGCGAAAUCCCGCAGUUGCGGGAUCGUCGGAGCGUAGUGGCUCCGGCCUGAUGAUGCCAGCUUAGC
rnacentral:hammerhead_ribozyme from 2 species